CCAACUGGAGAGCGGAGGAAGACCAAACUGUCGCCCAACUUUGGACAAGAUCAGCACGCACGUGAUUACCAAAAGUCCAACUGUUUUUCAGAGUAACGCCUGUGGCGUCAUAGUGACUAGGACUACAUUUCCCACAAGUCUGUGCGAUGGAGUUCCAGGACGCCUGGAAGAGUGUUUCCUACUGUUCCUGGGUUUCCGUACUGAUGUUUGCACUGUAGUGUCCCAGAGUUAGGAAAAAUGAAAAGCACGAACUGUAUCGAGAUGUAAUGAGUCGAAAUUUUAUGUAACAUGCGGCUGUCAUCAGUUCCCGUGGUCCAGCUUAACGAGUAGCAGUGACCACAUAAGGAGUGUGAGGAAGACAUUGAGCAUCCACAACUUGCCUGGUGAAGCAGCUCUCUGUAACAGUGUUUCAAAGCUCCAUGAAGACCUAUGUGUUGCAUCACAAAGGCCUACAAAACGAAAGCAUGGGGUCACUGCUGUCAAGUUCUGCUUCCAACUUGGGAUGGCGCCAGGCCCAAUAGCAUUGCUUCAUUUGACACUAGCAAUUAAAACAUUACCAAGAUACCCACUCAUCUCUGUGAUGUUCUAAUGAAGAGAGGAAAAAACGUCUAGUUACUCCACAUUGGUCUAUGAUCACAGACUAAACAAACAUUCCAUCCAAGUACCAAUCUUCAUGAAACAGACUUUUCUGCAGUGUGAAAGCUCUGGUGUCCAAUAGAGGCACAACACAUCUAAAGGCUUUGUGACAUUAUAUCUAGUACAGAGACUGAUGGCAACAGAGGUAUGAAGAAGAGGGAAAUGCCUUCCUGUGUCCCUUGCUGUCCUACACUGAUUUGUUGGAGUCAUGAAUGGUAUGACCAGAAACAACUUUGGGGAGUAAAUAUUUCAUUUCAACAUAAGGGUCAGUGUUCUUCCAGGGAUGCUAUGACUGGAAGGGCAGCAGAAACCAUGUCUCCUAACAUGUUUCUCAGCCUCCUACUCACCCACAAUUCUCAUGUGACCCAGGGUGGUACUGCUUGUCCUAGGUGGACUCUCCUACAUCACUUACUGAUCAAGAAAAUGGCCCCCUGACAUGCCCAUAAGGCACUCUGAUCCAGGAAAGCAUCUACGCAGAUAAUGCUGGCCUAGGUGAAGUUGACAGCUGAAGCUAAGGAGGACAUUUGCAUCUGCAGGGUUUCUCACCUGUAUCACUGCUUUGGUGUUGCUGAAGAUUGAAGUUUUGUUCAAGGCUUAGGGACAGUCAUUGUACUUGUAGAGUGUCUCUGCAGUAUGAAGUAUCUGCAGAUACUCACAGUGUAAAGAACAGGUAGAGAACUUACCACACUGAUUGCUUUUGUUGGCUUCCUCAUCAGAAUGAAUUCUCCAAUGCUUAUAUAGUCAUGAGGAAUAGGUAAGCCCCAGUCCUUUUCUGUACAUGAGUAGGAUUUCUCUCAGGUGAGAAUUACUGAGGUUGAACCAUGACUGAACAAUAAUUCAAACCUUCAAUAACACAUCCUUCACAUUAUAGCUUUGAUGUCCUGGAUGAAGAUUGUUGUGUUACUUAAAAUAUGAAGAAACACUAAAAGCUUAUCACUCCCUUCAUAAUUGGACUUCUUCUCUCCAGAUUGAACUUUAUUGUUGUUAGAAAGUGUUGACUCAGUGGUAAAGCACUCACCAUUCAAGUAUGUGCAAAGUGAUAAAAUCUUGCUAAAUAUUCAUUCCUUAUCCGAGACAAAAGUAUGACUUCUCUACUCAAUGGAAUCACUUGUCUCAGAUAAGGACUGAAUAUUUAGCAAGAUUUUAUAACUUUGCACAUACUUGUCAAGUUCCUAUUAAGAAUGAAUCCCUUUAUGUCUUCUAAGGGAUGAAGAUCGGAAAAAACUUUUCCCACACUUUUCACAUUUAUAGGGUUUCUCUCCAGUAUGAACAAUCUGGUGCUGAUUGAGGCUAUCAAGCCUAGAAAAGACUUUUCCACAUUGUUCACAUAUAUGGGGUUUCUCUCCAGUAUGAACUCUCUGGUGUUCAGUAAGGGCUGAGUGAUUUGGAAAGGCAUAGUGGCAUUCCCUACACUUAUAUGUGUGAAUUUUUUUGUGUUUUUUAAGGUCUAAAGUAGAGUAAAACAUUUUGCCACAUAUUUCACAUUUGUAAGAUUUCUCCCCAGAAUGACGCAAUUUGUGCCAAGGAAGGUAUGAGAGAGUAGAAAAUGUUUUCCCACACUCUUCACAUUUGUAUGGUUUCUCUCCAGAAUGAAUUCUUUGGUGAUCCUGAAGGUGUGGAAAAGAGUAAAACCUUCUGCCACAUUCUUCACACUUGUAGGAAUUCUCUUCUGAAUGAAUUCUCUGAUGACGCUUAAGGAAUGCAGAAGAGUAAAAUGCCUUGUCACAGUCUUUACACUUGUAGGGUUUCUUUCCAGAAUGAAUUCUUUGAUGCCGCUUAAGCAAUGAAGGAUAGUGAAAUGCUUUGCCACAUUCUGCACACUUGUAGGGUUUCUCUGCAGAAUGAAUUAUUUGAUGUUUCUUAAGCAAUAAAGGACAGUAAAAUAACUUUCCACAUUCUUCACACUUGUAGGAUUUCUCUGCAGAAUGAAUUCUUUGGUGUACCUUAAGUAAUGAAGGGUAGGAAAAUACUUUGGCACAAUCUUUACACUUGUAGGGUUUUUCUCCAGUAUGAUUUUUCCGGUGUCUAUAACGUGUUGAGUGAGUACUAAAGGCCUUACCACAUUCUUCACACUUGUAGGGUUUUUCUCCAGUAUGAAUUCUCUGGUGUACAGAAAGUUUUGAUUGAGUAUUAAAGGCCUUACCACAUUCUUCACACUUGUAGGAUUUUUCUCCAGUAUGAAUUCUCUGGUGUGUAGAAAGUCUUGAGCGAACACGAAAGGCUUUAC